rnacentral:rRNA from 1 species
GUAGCCGUGGCGGUGGUGGCCGGCGCAGUGGGCGCCUACUUCUUCUGGCCUGCCGGCGUGGCCGCCGGCGCAAUGAUGAAGGCCCCAGGCGCCGCCGGAUUUGUCAUCUCGCGCGCGGCCAUCCUGGCCAACCCGGAACUCUACUUUCAUCUCCUGCGCACCGCCGGACGCAAGGCAGCGGUCGCCGCCUUCCUUUAG